rnacentral:rRNA from 1 species
CCUACGGGGGGCUGCAGUGGGGAAUAUUGGACAAUGGGGGCAACCCUGAUCCAGCCAUGCCGCGUGUGUGAAGAAGGCCCUCGGGUUGUAAAGCACUUUCAGUGAGGAAGAACGCCUGGUGGUUAAUACCCAUCAGGAAAGACAUCACUCACAGAAGAAGCACCGGCUAACUCCGUGCCAGCAGCCGCGGUAAUACGGAGGGUGCGAGCGUUAAUCGGAAUUACUGGGCGUAAAGCGCGCGUAGGUGGCUUGAUAAGCCGGUUGUGAAAGCCCCGGGCUCAACCUGGGAACGGCAUCCGGAACUGUCAAGCUAGAGUGCAGGAGAGGAAGGUAGAAUUCCCGGUGUAGCGGUGAAAUGCGUAGAGAUCGGGAGGAAUACCAGUGGCGAAGGCGGCCUUAUGGACUGACACUGACACUGAGGUGCGAAAGCGUGGGUAGCAACCAGGAUUAGAUACCCCUGUAGUC